AGGAGAAAGCGAACAAGAGUUUCAGCUGAUAAUGUCGAGUCUAGUCAGAAUGUUUCCUCCAGUCCUCCUGAUGACACAUACACAGGUCUUGAUCUUCAGACCAGGUCCAAUGAUGUGUACUACACACUUGCAACUGUCCACUCGAGUCUUCCUGAUUCUCGGUCCAUCUCUCAUGAUUAUGACAAUGAUCCAGUGAGUGCAUUUCUUCAUCGCUGAAAAUAGCAC